rnacentral:lncRNA from 1 species
GGUUACGGGUUAGCACGAAUCUUCUCACCCCUUAAUUAUAGUCCUAGCAUUCGAAAAACACACCAACACCUCUCCCUCCCUUGGCGCCAUCUCUUCAUUCCUCCGAACUCCCAAAAGCCAUGCGGGCCAGAGUUAAUCCCCUGUGCUGUUUAUGACUAUCACUGUCCCCAGGAUCCCCAGCUGACCACAUACUUCCUGGCCCUUGCCACCACCUGCCUUACAAGGCAGGACUGCCCACCAGAGAUGCUACUUUAGGAAGAUUCAAGGGGACACAAAUGCCAGGAUCUUUUUUUUUAAUGUGCUGAGCCAAGCCAUUCCAAGGGCCUGGAAAACAGGCAGUGUUCUGCACCCCCAAGUCACACUCGGACAAUUGCUGUCUUCCCCAGGGGUGGGAGGCGGAGGGAGAGCCCACAGCUGCUUCUGCCGCAUGCCAAUAGAGCAAAAAUGAAACAUUUAGAAAAUUUCCUCUCUUGACUGAAAAUCCGAUUUAGGUCUGAUGCCUGUCAACCAAAUGAAUUAAAAUGGACAAAUAAUAGCUGCAACUCUGUCUCUGUAUAGAGAGGAAGGCAGACCCUUCAUGAUGGAGACGGACAAGGCUUAUUCCCUGACUGUGUGCAUCUCCUGGAAAUAACUGCAGGAAAGCCAGAGGGAGCCUGUGUCUCUGUGAGUGACCACCAAGCUGUGGAGGCAAGGAAACAUGAGGGGGACAAGGAAAAGCCCACGGUCGCAGAAAGGACAGCUGGAUCUAAGGGAUAUGAGCUGAAAACAGAAGGGGAAGGAAGGGUGGUGUCGCAGAGCUGCUUCGCUCUGGGCUGCAGGGACACAGGAGGAACAAGGCAGGUCUACGUGACCCUUGUCUGUCUAGGGCUACCUCUUACCUGUGCUUCACAUGGCCAAGAGGAGGAAAAUGGACAUACUGGCAUGUUUAACAGGAAAUUGAGAAAGACACCAGAUCAUACAGAGUUGAGAAAACACCAGCCACUUAGCUUGGAAUAAAGACCCGCAAGUAGGAAGGUGGGGUACAAAAGAAGAUUGGGGUGAACCCAGGAGUAGCCCCAUCUCCAGUAGACCUAACCCACAUAUGUUUCCGCCAUACGGUCCCCCAGACCACAGAUGGAGUACUCCAGGCUUCCCAUCCCUGCCUGCUGGCUCUGUUCCUCCAUAGGAGAGUGAACACUGAAAGACAGCAAUGGCUGUCUCUUCCACAGCCUUCCCUGCUGAACCCUCAGGAUAGAUGAAAUUCCGAAGGGAAAGUUAAGGGGUCCCAUCGAGCAUGCCUGCUCAAGGACCCUAGUGUGCUCUGACUUUCCUCCUAACCCAUGCAGGAACGGGCCAUUCUGUAGCCCCCAGGGGGCCUCCACCAGCUCCUCUUCAUGUACCACACUGCCUACAGAAAGGCCCCGUACAAGGGCCGAUGAGAAGCAACCUGAGGGAGCUGUAAAUGUGGAAGAAGCCUGUGGAAGCCUCAAGGAAAUAGUGGCCUGGGGGCACAUCAAAGCCAGGGAGGGUACUGAAACUCCUCUGCCUCUGAACAACUCUCCAACAUGAAACAUUUCAACGUUUUCACAGAGGACUUGGGGUAGAAGUUUUGCUUCCUUAUACCCUUUCUCUGCUAAGGGAAGUCUACACAGGCCUGGUUCU